rnacentral:rRNA from 1 species
AACGAACGCUGGCGGCGUGCUUAACACAUGCAAGUCGAACGGUACCCCCCUUCGUAGUGGCUCAGUGGCGCACGGGUGGGUGACACGUGGGCUUCCUGCCCCCGGCACUCGCCUAACGCCAAGCUAUUGCGGCUAAUAGCGUACGUUCCCCGCUUCCCGCGCGGUUGGUUGUGCACGGGUUUUACGGAUGGGGAUGGGCGCGCGGCCUCUCAGCUUGUUGGGGGGGUAGUGUCCUAGCAAGGCGAGGACGGGUAGCCGGCCUGGGAGGGUAGCCGGCCACGCUGGGACGGAGACACGGCCCGGACUCGAAUGCGAGGCAGCGGUGGGGAGGAGUGCGCAAGGGGCGGAAGGCUGACGUAGCGACGCCGCGUGGGGGAAGAGGGCCUUGGGGUUGUAAACCUCUUCCAGCAGGGACGAAGCGAUAGUGACGGUACCGGCAGAAGAAGCACCGGCUAACUACGUG